rnacentral:rRNA from 1 species
GUGCCAGCAGCCGCGGUAAUACGGAGGGUGCGAGCGUUAAUCGGAAUUACUGGGCGUAAAGCGUGCGCAGGCGGUUUGUUAAGCGAGAUGUGAAAGCCCCGGGCUCAACCUGGGAAUAGCAUUUCGAACUGGCAAACUAGAGUCUUGUAGAGGGGGGUAGAAUUCCAGGUGUAGCGGUGAAAUGCGUAGAGAUCUGGAGGAAUACCGGUGGCGAAGGCGGCCCCCUGGACAAAGACUGACGCUCAUGCACGAAAGCGUGGGGAGCAAACAGGAUUAGAAACCCCCGUAGUCC